rnacentral:rRNA from 1 species
GACGAACGCUGGCGGCGUGCUUAACACAUGCAAGUCGAACGAAGAGCGAUGGAAGCUUGCUUCUAUCAAUCUUAGUGGCGAACGGGUGAGUAACGCGUAAUCAACCUGCCCUUCAGAGGGGGACAACAGUUGGAAACGACUGCUAAUACCGCAUACGAUCUAAUCUCGGCAUCGAGGAUAGAUGAAAGGUGGCCUCUACAUGUAAGCUAUCACUGAAGGAGGGGAUUGCGUCUGAUUAGCUAGUUGGAGGGGUAACGGCCCACCAAGGCGAUGAUCAGUAGCCGGUCUGAGAGGAUGAACGGCCACAUUGGGACUGAGACACGGCCCAGACUCCUACGGGAGGCAGCAGUGGGGAAUCUUCCGCAAUGGAUGAAAGUCUGACGGAGCAACGCCGCGUGAGCGAUGACGGCCUUCGGGUUGUAAAGCUCUGUUAAUCGGGACGAAAGGCCUUCUUGCGAAUAGUGAGAAGGAUUGACGGUACCGGAAUAGAAAGCCACGGCUAACUACGUG